AUUGUUGAUGUUAUCGAUCUUGACUUAUUUUUUUUCUUUUACCUGAAAAUUUGAGAUUUUGAUACUGAGAUUGCACUCCCUCUAUUUUAAUUUAAUUGUCUUAGUUUCAUGCAGUAUGAAGAAUAUGAGUGAAAGUAAAUAAUUAUAUAUUAUAAAGAAAAUUGGUCCGAAAUAUAACAUCUAAAGUUAGCUCUUUGAUAAAGUUGAGGCACACAAAAUUUAAAACUCACUUACGAAUAUCGGAGAAUUGAAGUGGAGCCUUGGAGCAACGUUAAAGUUGUCUCUGUGUACCUAGAGGGUAACAGGUUUGAGAUGUGGAAUCAACCUCUAAUGCUUUGGGUAGGUUGUCUACAUUAUACCCCUGGGUUUGGACCUUUUCUGGACCCUAAGUGAAUGCGAGAUGCUUUUCACCAAUUUUUUCCUUUUCAUUUUUCAUCAUACUGUGCUCCAGAAAAUGCAGAAAAAUAGUAUACUAUUACAUACUCCCUCCGUCCCUAUUUACUUGUCCAUAUUUCCUUUUUUGGUUGUCCCUAUUUAGUUGUCCAUUUUGACAAAUCAAGAAAGGACAACAAAUUUUUUCCUAUUAUACCCUUAUUUACACUUCUUGAAAAUUGUAAAAGUGUAUGUUGUUUCCCUC
rnacentral:lncRNA from 1 species